rnacentral:SRP_RNA from 2 species
GCUGGGCAUGGUAGCGUGUGCCUGUAGUCCCAGCUACUCAGAGGCGAGGCAGGUGGAUCUCUUGAGCCCAAGAGUGCUGGACUGCAGUGGGCUAUGAUGGCGCCACUGCACUCCAGCAUAGAUGACAGAGCGAGAUCCUGUCUCAA